GAAUUUGGGAUGAUUGAUGGAGGAAUAGGGAAGAGAGAUGAGAAGGGUGAGUUGAAUAGAUAUACGCGUUGAGAGGUACUAAGGAGACAGGAAUGAAGAUGAGAAAAUGAGAGAAUGGGAUGGAUGAAAGGGUUAGUGACAAGGAAUGGAUGAUGAUAGGGAUUUAGAGGUAAAUAUGUGGAAAAAUGGAGGGAUGGGGUAUGAGAGGAAUAAAGAAAGUAGAAAAGAUAGAUAAAGAAGUAUGAAUUGAAUUGAAUAGGAAUUGAAUAGUUGAGUAAGAGAAAAAUGAAUGAAGAGGGGAAGGGUUGAACCCGUGAGCUUCAUAAAAAAUAGAGCAUUGGGUGUUGAGGCAUGCAUGUAUUUUCUAAUUUUGUGGAAAAAUUGCUCAAAGUCAACCUUUAUGGUUAAGAAAUAGACUGUAUACAGUUUUAUUUAAAAACAGACUACUUAUUAAGUUAAUUAAUUUCAACUUAUCUUCCCAGGGAUCUGCAGAAUUAAAGCAGCUUAAAGUUAAACAGUAGGAAUCAAAUUGGAAGAGGAAGACAUCUUCAACCAGAAGUAAACCUCACACAGGAGUGAAAGGUGGAGUGAAAAUGUGUUACUAAUUAGCUACUUUGGUCCCUCCCUCGGCUGCAGUGAUUGAGAAUAGCCCCACUGGUUACCAUGGAGCCCAGCAGCAAUACAUUUCUGUCAGUGGGCUUUGACUCUCUGAAGGGAAUAAAAAAAAAAAAAAAAACACCCUCACCCUGAUGCAGGGAUGGGGCGUUCCCCCACUUCUUAGGAGAGUGCUUGUUGCCUCAUGUAUAUUUCUGAGUGCGUGUGUUUGAAAGAUUUGACAGUUUUUCUAGCUUCCCCAGGAGCAGACCUCAAUUUCUAUUUAUGCCUCACUCUGUCUACUGACCUUGCUUCAAAUUUCUUGAACAAACAUAGACACAAACAUUUAAGAGCAAAUAUUUUUGGCCCAAAGGAAAGCUACAUCUUUAUCCUCUUGCUGCUGACAUUAAGGGUCUCUAAAGUGAAUCAUCCACCUCCAUCUUCAAAACCUAACUUGGGCAAAAACAAAAGCAGUUUUCAUGUGAUGAUUUCAUUUGUUUAUUUUAAUAAAAGCAAAUCAUAAGCAAACAGCACCCUAUGUAAAAUAACACAUUUUUUUGGUUCAGUUUCAGUGGUGACAUCAGACAUGAUCAUGCCAGACCUGAAAGUUAUCAAUUUCAGCACCAUCAGCCAGCUGCCGUAGGUAGAAAAGGUUUUACUAUGCAACAGUAACUGUAAUCCUCUGAAAACUAUUGAUAAUAUGAGACAGAUAUCCUUCAAACCAGCUUUUUCUUAAGUAUAACUUAAUAAGCUUUCAUGAUUUAGUAGAUUAUAAAAUUCUCCAGCUUUUGUAUAAAGCCAAUAAGAAAAUAUUGCCAGUGAGGGUCUUUUUGAAAAAAUAAGUUUUCAAAAAGACAAAGUCACUAUGACCUGAAAGGAACAGAUAUAUUAAAAAAACAGGUUCAAAACCAAAAUCAUGGAACGGACCGUCACAGUAAAAGGAAUUAAUUUGUGGAAUGUACUCCACAAAGAAAUUAAAGAGUCAAGAACGAUGAUGGCAUUAAAAAACAAAAAAAAAAAAAAAAAAAAAAAAGUUAAUGGAAAUGAUGGGGAAAUAUUUAUGAUGGUGUUACGUUUUGAAUAUUUUUGAAUACUGUAAAAUGUAAUUACAGCAAAUGUGAAUAAUUGAGGAAAGAUUAAUGUAUAUACUGUAAAAAUUAUUAAGUAACAGAAUUGAUUUAGCGUUGUUGUAAAAUUAAUUAAAGGGGAGAUAUCAUAAGAUUGCUCUUCUCUCUGCUCCUUUUCAUUCAAAAUGGAUUGAUUUGGAUUGUGUAAAUUGUUAGUAUGAAUUUAAAACUUACUUUAAAUAAAUAAAGUGAAAUUGAAAAAAAGUAAAGCCUUGCUAUAAAGCCUUGUUUUUGUUGAGGAAAAUAAAUAUCUUAGUUGGGGGUGCUGAGGAAUGCAGGUGUUGACUGUCUCUCCCUGUUGCUGGGUAGAAUAACACAUGAGUUUUAUGGCAGAGGGUAGGUCAGGGAAGAAGAGUUCCUUUGUUCGAACAGCUCAUCCCUCCUCCUGAAGAGAUGGGAGGGGAGACACUCUUUUAAAGAUGUGUUCAAAUUUGUGAAAAUUCAGACAGAAUCUUUGCAUCGCCAUGAAACAGGAUGUCAGCUUGUAGUGAAUACUACAGAAUGAUUGUAUUGGAGACAUGAACCAGGAGAUUCCAGGAAUGCGAAGGAGGGUGCACCGACCUCCAGACAUCCACUAAGUGCACGCUAAGGUCAUCGAAAGACAGAUAUGGGGGCCAAGGAUCAGGAGGCUCAUCAGACUGUGGAGCCGUGCAUACCAGCUACAGAGAGGGUUCAAAGAAACAUCACUGGAGCAGCUUCGGGUCAGGCUCCCUGACUGGAAGGGUUUUCAACUGCCACCCACCCGUGCCAUCCGGCAGCGGGGCAGCUCGAAGCGCAGAUGCCACUCUCGGAUGAGGCAGCAAGAUUUUUAUUUUGUUUUCGUUAUUUAUUUUUAAUAAAAUCAUUAACAUACA